AAUAUCCCGUUCUAGUGUCACGCAAUCUUUAUGUCACGCAAGACCUUGAGAUAAUGUAAAUUAAGUAAUUCUGGAAUAAAUAAAUUGGAAAUUGAAAGGCUCCUAGCUGUUUUACCUGUAAGUUGACUCAGGGUAUAAACGACAUCGUGGGUGGGAGGGCUGAAUAUCAGGGAAUAGUCAACUAUGGCUGAACCAAUCAAAUUAACCGACCAGCAAUGAACCAAUCAAGUUAACAGAUUGAGAUAAACCAAUCAAGUUAACGGAUCAGCAAUAAACCAAUCAAAUUAACGGAUUCGCAAUGAACCAUGGGUGUUUGGUUCCGAUAAAAGGCUAGUGCUCGAAAUGAAACCUUUUAAAGUCCGAGUCUCUCUGGCGGUUACCCUUACUUACUUCAAGUUGAUUAUCGUAAGUUCCAAUCAUGUCUAGAUUGUCUUCAUUUUGUUCCUGUGUCCUGCUUUUUGUCCUGAUCCACUCAAGCCAGUCCAAUAACCCGUUUAGCCAGUUUGGUGUAUUUUGCAAACCAGAAACGGGGCGUCUAACAGUCAGCAAAACAGGUUGCGAGUCCCGGUAUGUCCGAGUGAAAGCCUGUGUCGGCACAUGCGCGUCACACACGCAUCCGCUGGACCACCCGCCUUACUUCAAGAAAUUCUGCAAAUGCUGUAAGCCAUCAGCUAAAAGAUGGAAGGUGUUUAAUCUGCCAAAUUGCACCUCAGGGAUCUCCCCCUCAGUACAAGUGGAAUCUGCCGUGAACUGCAAGUGCUCCGCUUGCACGUGAAAGAAAAACAUAAAAUAAAAUAAAAUAAAUAAAAUAAAAUAAAAUAAAAUAAAAUAAAAUAAAAUAAAAUGAAAUGAAAUAAAAUAAGAUAGAAUAAAAAAAUAAAAGUUCACAAAGUGAGGGGCAGACAUUUGUUUGGGACGUCCUUAGACUCAGAUAGAAUUUAUUUAAUUCAUGAUACGACAAAUAAGAGAAUUAAUGUCACACACACAAUAUUUGUGUCACACAAGGCUUGAUUAAACUAGUGUGAGUAGGUGUGUAAGUAUUUUUGGAAUGAAUUUAAUUGCAAAUAUAACUGCUCUUACUAAUAGUAUACCGGCAAGUCAUGGUAAGUGGGAGGGCUGAAUAUCAGCGAAUAAUAAACUGUGGCAUCAGACCGGACUCUGAGCCAAUCAAAUUAACGGAUUUGCAAUGAACCAAUCAAAUUAACGGACUCGCAAUGAACCGACCGAAUAAACAGAUUCGCAAUAAAGCAAUCAAAUUGCACCGCGGUUGCCUUGGUUCCGAUAAGAGGCUGACGCUCGAAACUGCAGCUUGUCAAAGUCCAAGUCGCUCUGGCGGUUUCCCCUACUUAGUUAAGUUGAUAAUCAUAAGUUCUAGUCAUGUCUAGAUUGCCUUCACUUUGUUGCUGUGUCUUGCUCUUUGUGCUGAUCCACUCAAGCCAGUCCAAUAACCCGUUUAGCCAGUUUGGUGUCUUCUGCAACACCAAAAUGGAGAAUCAACUAGUCAAUAAAACAGGUUGCGAGUCCCGGAAUGUGCAAGUGAAAGCCUGUCUUGGCACAUGCGCGUCAUACGCUCGUCCGCUGGACCACCCGCCUUACUUCAAGAAAUUCUGCAAAUGCUGCAAGCCAUCAGUUAAAACGUGGACGGUGUUUAAUCUGCCAAAUUGCACCUCAGGGAUCUCCCCCUUAGUACAAGUGGAAGCUGCCGUGAGCUGCACCUGUUCCGCCUGCUCGUGAAAGAAAAGAAAAGAAAAGAGGAAAAAAUAUCGAGUGUCCAAGACAGAGAAUAUUUUAGAUAGCCUUUGACCGACCUCCUGCCGUUGAUUGUUAGUAUAGGAUGAACAGAAUUUAUUCAGUUACAGAUGCGACAAAACGGAUGUCAGGUGACAAUUAAACCGUUCUAAUGUCACGCAAUCUUUGUGUCACACAAGACCUGUAGUAAUGGUAUCUUGUGUAAAUUUUUAAGUCAUUUUGUAAUAAAAUAAAAAUCUCAAAAUUGAAAGUGUUGCCUUGCUGACUGU